UCCAUCGCCAGGGCCAAGGGGAUCCUGGAAUGGUCCCAAAACCCAUGGCCAUGCUAAGAAACUUGUGUUUCAAGGAUUCCUAGCUCUGGCUCCUUGUAGGCUCGAGUGCUUGUUAGUUUUUAGCAUUUGGCUUGUGGUAGUGUUUGCGACCUUGGUUUCAAUUUGUGGGUAUCCAAUAUAUGGAUGACAGAUUAGAUAGAAUGAUGUACCAAAAACAAAAAUAUAUCAUAUAGAAUGGAUGGUGGACAUUUAUUUUUAUUACAUUCUUGGAAGAUACUAACAUGGAAUCAAAGUAGAUAGAUAAGUAUAUAUGAAG
rnacentral:lncRNA from 1 species